GUGGUCAAAAUUAUUCUCCCGUUUCUGUUUUAGAAUCUAAGAGUUCUAUUUAGAAAGUUGUUAUGGUAUCAGAGCUUUGAGUCAAACGACCUAAAUCAAUGGCGAUUUCUUCAUCCGAAACUGAUUCCACAGUAGUGAAUCAGAAUUCAACGAUCGUAAAUCCUGGGAACAAAAUCUCAACAAUCAAACUGAAUGAUGAGAAUUUUUUACUCUGGCGAUUACAAAUAACCACGGCGUUGCAAGGGCAUGGACUCGGGAAAUUCAUCGAUCCUGAAGCGAAAAUUCCGUCCGAAUUUGUUCAAUCGGCCGAUGAAUCUUCGUCUGUACCGAGUCCAAAUCCAGAAUUCAUCAACUGGAAACGCCAAGAUAAACUGAUCACGUCAUGGCUUCUUGGAUCGAUGUCUGAGGAAAUCUUAUCGCAAAUGCUAGAGUGUGAAACUGCACAAGAAGUCUGGUCAGUCCUUAAUACUCUUUUCUCUUCGAGAAAUCUAGCCAGAGUUAUGCAAUUAAAAUCUAAGUUAGAGAAUACAAAGAAAGGAAAUCUUAGCCUCAAAGAGUAUUUCCUGAAAAUAAAGAAUAUUGUGGAUUCUUUAAAUGCGACUGGAAAGAAAGUGUCCAAAGAAGAUCAUGUUAUGCAUUUGUUAGCAGGAUUAGGAACAGAUUAUGAUCCUACUGUAUAUGUAAUUGUUGCUAAAAUCGGUACUCCAUCAUUGCAAUAAGUUUAUUCUCUACUUCUUGCACAAGAAGGAAGAAACGAGAGGAAUAUAGUAACUACUAAUGCGUCCUUACCCUCAAUAAACUUGACUACUCAGCCAGAGCAACCAAAAAGAGCAAACUCAUCUAAUUUUUCUGAAAAUAGAGGUAAUUGGAACAAUAACAGAGGAAGAGGAGGAAAUCGAUCAAAUCGUAGCCGUCAGAAUAAUAACUCUAGAGUUCAAUGUCAGCUAUGUGGACGGUUUGGACAUACAGUGCUACGAUGUUACCUUCGGUUUGAUCGUUCAUAUCAGGGACAUAAUGCUACACCGAAUCAUUCUUUUACUCCUAUGAAUAAUACAUUUUUUAUGAAUCGUUCAUGCAAUACCUUUUCUCAGGCUCAACAACAAGCACCAUUGAAUGCUCUGAUGGUUGCUCCGGAUCUUAAUAGAGAUACCAACUGGUAUCCCGGCUCAGGUGCUUCAACACAUGUAACAAAUGAUUUUGGCAACUUCUGGGAGUAACAAAGUUCAUGUGGGAAACGGUACAGGACAUCAAAACUGGACAAGUACUUCUCGAGGGCAAGGUUUCUGAUGGACUCCCUGCUCUUCUUCCAUUACAGAUAACUCUUUUCAUCCUAUUUCUACAUCUCAGGUUCAUCAUCUCAAUAUUAGUCCUCCUUUGUCAUCUACAAAUUUUACUGAUAUACCAUGUAUACCAUCUGUCUUUGAUAUUUGGCAUUGGCGUCUUGGUCAUCCCCAACCAUCUACUGUGAAGCAUGUACUCAAUUCAUGUAAUAUUUCCUUUUCAAGUAAU